UAGCAUGGAAUAUUCAUAAUAAAUAAUAGUAAUAAUAAUAAUAAUAAUAUAAGCUUCAAGAAAUGUAACGUGGAGGAGGAGGAGUGAUGAGUUGAAACCCUAAUUCAACCUAGUUAUUUCUUAAUUGCAUUGAAUUUUGUAUGAUAUGGUGAAGUGGUCAGGGAGGGAGGGCCGCGCGGCUCUUGGUGGGUUGGGUCAGUUGGCUGCUGGCCGCGCAACCCUGGCUGCAUGGGUUAUGUUCCUCUUCUUAUGCUCUUCACACCAACUUAUAUAUGUAUUUUAAAUAAAGUUUUUUUUUUUUUUUUGGUCUUCUUGAUUGAAUCAAUCAUACAGAUAUAAAUUGUUAGUUGUAGGGCAGGUGGUUGGCUUAUUGUCGUGCUCCAGAAUCCAGAUCAAUUAGUAGUUGCAGUUAUAUUUUGAAAAACUGUUAUUGUUCUCUCGAACAAGUUGAGUGGAAUUUUUAAAAGAAGAUAUUGAAUUGAUGUGAAGAAUGAAGAAGCUUCUCAACUUGUUAUGUGCUCAAUGCUCAUGUUGUUUAACUUUAAUAUGUAUAUGUGGUUGGCAGCCUUUGCGUGCCCCCCUCCCUAACUGGCUAUCCUAUCCCUCUCUAGAUAAAGAGAGGAGAAGACUUUUUACAAGGUUUGGACUUUAGUAUAGGAAGACAUUGUUACGAUCAAUUAGGGGGCCCCUAUCACAAAACCAAAUUAUGCUCUCAAAUCAAUUAGGUAAACGUGAAUUACGUAAAUUAGUUAGAGCAGUAAAUAUGUCUAUUUGUACACAAUUUUGAAUUCAUCUUUUCGUAAAUUAAAUUAAUUAGAGUAGUUUAAACUAUCGUUUAUUCACUUAACAUAAAUUAAGUGCUAAUAAUUUCAUUAACUAUGCGGUUAAUUGAGUACAAAUUUGGAUCAAGGUCCAGGGUCC
rnacentral:lncRNA from 1 species